rnacentral:rRNA from 1 species
GACGAACGCUGGCGGCGUGCCUAACACAUGCAAGUCGAACGGAAAGGCCCUGCUUUUGUGGGGUGCUCGAGUGGCGAACGGGUGAGUAACACGUGAGUAUCCUGCCCUUGACUUUGGGAUAACUUCAGGAAACUGGGGCUAAUACCGGAUAGGAGCUCCUGCUGCAUGGUGGGGGUUGGAAAGUUUCGGCGGUUGGGGAUGGACUCGCGGCUUACCAGCUUGUUGGUGGGGUAGUGGCUUACCAAGCGUUUGACGGAUAGCCGGCCUGAGAGGGGGGCCGGGCACAAUGGGACUAAGGGACGGAGCAGUCGGCUACGGUAGGCAGCGGUGGGAAGUAUGGCACAGUGGGCGGGAGCGUGAGACGACGGCGCCGGGUGCGGAAUGACGGCCUUCGGGGUGUGAACCGCUGUCGCCUGAGACGAAGCGGGAGUGACGGUAAUGAAUAAAGAAGCACCGGCUAACUACGUG